rnacentral:rRNA from 2 species
UAAGCCGUUGAAGGUGAAUCGUAAGGUUUGCUGGAGGUAUCAGAAGUGCGAAUGCUGACAUGAGUAACGACAAAGGGGGUGAAAAACCUCCUCGCCGGAAGACCAAGGGUUCCUGUCCAACGUUAAUCGGGGCAGGGUGAGUCGACCCCUAAGGUGAGGCCGAAAGGCGUAAUCGAUGGGAAACGGGUUAAUAUUCCCGUACUUCUGACUAUUGCGAUGGGGGGACGGAGAAGGCUAGGUGGGCCAGGCGACGGUUGUCCUGGUUCAAGUGCGUAGGCUUGAGAGUUAGGUAAAUCCGGCUCUCUCUAAGGCUGAGACACGACGUCGAGCUACUACGGUAGUGAAGUCAUUGAUGCCAUGCUUCCAGGAAAAGCCUCUAAGCUUCAGAUAGUCAGGAAUCGUACCCCAAACCGACACAGGUGGUCGGGUAGAGAAUACCAAGGCGCUUGAGAGAACUCGGGUGAAGGAACUAGGCAAAAUGGUACCGUAACUUCGGGAGAAGGUACGCUCUUGAUGGUGAAGUCCCUCGCGGAUGGAGCUGACGAGAGUCGCAGAUACCAGGUGGCUGCAACUGUUUAUUAAAAACACAGCACUGUGCAAAAUCGCAAGAUGACGUAUACGGUGUGACGCCUGCCCGGUGCCGGAAGGUUAAUUGAUGGGGUUAGCGCAAGCGAAGCUCUUGAUCGAAGCCCCGGUAAACGGCGGCCGUAACUAUAACGGUCCUAAGGUAGCGAAAUUCCUUGUCGGGUAAGUUCCGACCUGCACGAAUGGCGUAAUGAUGGCCACGCUGUCUCCACCCGAGACUCAGUGAAAUUGAAAUCGCUGUGAAGAUGCAGUGUACCCGCGGCUAGACGGAAAGACCCCGUGAACCUUUACUACAGCUUGGCACUGAACAUUGAACCUACAUGUGUAGGAUAGGUGGGAGGCUAUGAAGACGUGACGCCAGUUGCGUUGGAGCCGUCCUUGAAAUACCACCCUUGUAUGUUUGAUGUUCUAACUUAGACCCAUUAUCUGGGUUGAGGACAGUGCCUGGUGGGUAGUUUGACUGGGGCGGUCUCCUCCCAAAGAGUAACGGAGGAGCACGAAGGUGGGCUAAUCACGGUUGGACAUCGUGAGGUUAGUGCAAUGGCAUAAGCCCGCUUAACUGCGAGAAUGACGGUUCGAGCAGGUGCGAAAGCAGGUCAUAGUGAUCCGGUGGUUCUGUAUGGAAGGGCCAUCGCUCAACGGAUAAAAGGUACUCCGGGGAUAACAGGCUGAUACCGCCCAAGAGUUCAUAUCGACGGCGGUGUUUGGCACCUCGAUGUCGGCUCAUCACAUCCUGGGGCUGAAGUCGGUCCCAAGGGUAUGGCUGUUCGCCAUUUAAAGUGGUACGCGAGCUGGGUUUAGAACGUCGUGAGACAGUUCGGUCCCUAUCUGCCGUGGGCGUUGGAAGAUUGAAGGGGGCUGCUCCUAGUACGAGAGGACCGGAGUGGACGAACCUCUGGUGUUCGGGUUGUGUCGCCAGACGCAUUGCCCGGUAGCUAAGUUCGGAAUUGAUAAGCGCUGAAAGCAUCUAAGCGCGAAGCGAGCCCUGAGAUGAGUCUUCCCUGACAGUUUAACUGUCCUAAAGGGUUGUUCGAGACUAGAACGUUGAUAGGCAGGGUGUGUAAGCGUUGUGAGGCGUUGAGCUAACCUGUACUAAUUGCCCGUGAGGCUUAACCAUACAACACCCAAGGGGUUUUGUA